AUGCUUAGGGCUGUUUUGAAGAAUAAUAAGAAAAUGUGGGAGGAAUGCUUGCCUCAUAUUGAAUUUGCUUAUAAUCGUUCAUUGCGUUCUACUACUAAGAUGUGCCCUUUUGAAGUUGUGUAUGGUUUCCUACCUCGUGCACCUAUUGAUUUGUUGCCUCUUCCAUCUUCGGAGAAGGUUAAUUUUGAUGCUAAACAACGUGCUGAAUUGAUUUUAAAAAUGCAUGAGUUAACUAAGGAAAACAUUGAGCGUAUGAAUGCUAAAUAUAAACUUGCUGGAGAUAAGGGUAGAAAACAUGUUGUGUUUGCACCUGGAGAUCUUGUUUGGUUACAUUUGCGUAAGGAUAGAUUUCCUGAUUUGCGCAAAUCAAAGCUAAUGCCACGUGCUGAUGGUCCCAUUAAGGUGUUAGAGAAAAUAAAUGAUAAUGCAUAUAAACUUGAGCUGCCUGCAGAUUUUGGGGUUAGUCCCACUUUUAACAUUGCAGAUUUGAAGCCUUAUUUGGGUGAGGAAGAUGAACUUCCGUCGAGGACGACUUCAUUUCAAGAAGGGGAGGAUGAUGAGGACAUCAAUACAAUUGUUACACCCACAGCCCCUGCUGCUAUACAUACUGGACCAAUUACUAGAGCUCGUGCACGCCAACUAAAUUACCAGGUACUUUCGUUUCUUGGUAAUGAUUCUAAUGUUCAUGAGAAUAUGAUGCUGGCUAAAUUGGAUACAUUUGUUUUGCUUACAAAUGAAGGGCCUAGCUUGGAGAAGGAUGAACAUUGGAGCAAGAACAAGCAUGGAGAUGACGGCAUGCGCAAGGGAAACAAGAACGGAGUUACAAGUGAUGAUUUCAAGACUUUGAAGCCACCAUAA
rnacentral:rRNA from 1 species